AUUGUGAUCUUAUACAACUAUUAUUUAUUUUUAAAGUAAUUUUUGUAAGCAUUGGGGGGUCGUGAAGAUUCUAUCAGUGAGUAUUUGUUCUCGAAAGGGCUAUGAUUAAUAUUGAAUAAUCAGACAUAGUACGCUAAGGUUGUAUGUCUAAAGGGAAACAGCCCAGAGCAAGUGUAAAUAAGGUUCCAAAAUUAUUAUUAAGUGAAAUAAAGGUAGUUUAUGUCUUAAACGGCCAGGAAAUGGGCUUAGAAGCGGCCAUUUUUUAAAGACCUCGUAACAGAGCACUGGCUUUGUCCUAUAAUUUAGGAUAAAUUAGAUUUAAAUUUCUUAGAUCUAAUUUACAUGGAUAUGAGCACCGACGAUACAACGGAUCUAAAUAAUAUACCGAUACCUUGUCCAUAAAAAUAUAUACUUAUUAUCUGUAUAAGAUAAGUUAUUUGAAAAAGCAAACAGAUAGGAGGAAGAUAAUUAAACCGAAAUUUUUUUUUAGUUUAUUUUUUUUUUAUCUAAAAACAAAUUAAUAUAAUAUAAUAACAUGUAUAUCGUUUUAUGGGGUAGCGGAACAUUGGGUAUGCCACAUACUUUUAUUAUAUAAAUAAAAUAAGGUAUCCCAAGAGAGAAUGCUGACAUGAGUAACGAUAAAGGGAAAAAUCCCUCGCCUAAAGCUUAUGGUAUUUAGUUAAAGUAACGGCCUCUAAGUUUAUGUUUUAGUAUAACCUAAGGGAUUAAACGAUGAGCAAAUCUAGAAAGGCAU
rnacentral:rRNA from 1 species